rnacentral:rRNA from 1 species
UACGUAGGGUGCAAGCGUUGUCCGGAUUUAUUGGGCGUAAAGAGCUCGUAGGCGGUCUGUCGCGUCGGAUGUGAAAACCCAGGGCUCAACCCUGGGCCUGCAUUCGAUACGGGCAGACUAGAGUGUGGCAGGGGAGACUGGAAUUCCUGGUGUAGCGGUGAAAUGCGCAGAUAUCAGGAGGAACACCGGUGGCGAAGGCGGAUCUCUGGGCCGAUACUGACGCUGAGGAGCGAAAGCGUGGGGAGCGAACAGG